GUCAAUGUUGAGCCGUUGCGAUUUUUUAAAUUCUUUUCGUUCUUGUCUGCAUAUUGAAAAAUGAAUGUUGUUUGAAUGUUGUUGGUUCAUUUGAAGGAACUUCAUAGACUCUGAGUUGGUGUUUGGGAUGGGCGGGUUGCGGGCGCUAAGUGAUCAUCUGUUACAAUCAUUUUGAAGCACCGCCCGCCGCUGAUGAUGAUGAUGACGUGCUUUGUUUCAAUUCACAAAGGCAAUAUGGGUACAAUAUAAAUGGCGUUGGACGAUGUUUUACCUAAUUUAUUUAUCGAAGCUGGCAAAAACUGAUGAGUUAGCUAUCGGCGAGCCAAAAUCGACUUUAGAAUUUUCCAACAAAAGGCAGUUGUGGCCGAAAAAGGCAUUGAAACACUUACUCAUGUCUCAAUGCCGAGAAAAACAUGAGCACGUGCCCAUAUACACAAAGAUUUGGCAAGGAUCUCUAUGAAUAAAACAUUUGUCGAAUUAAA